UACGUAGGGGGCAAGCGUUGUCCGGAAUCAUUGGGCGUAAAGCGCGUGUAGGCGGUCCGGUAAGUCCGCUGUGAAAGUCGGGGGCUUAACCCUCGGAUGCCGGUGGAUACUGUCGGGCUUGAGUACGGAAGAGGCGAGUGGAAUUCCUGGUGUAGCGGUGAAAUGCGCAGAUAUCAGGAGGAACACCAAUUGCGAAGGCAGCUCGCUGGGACGUUACUGACACUGAGGCGCGAAAGCGUGGGGAGCGAACAGG
rnacentral:rRNA from 1 species